rnacentral:rRNA from 1 species
UACGGAGGGUGCGAGCGUUGUCCGGAAUCAUUGGGCGUAAAGGGCGCGUAGGUGGCCCGGUCAGUUCGUGGUGAAAGCGCGGGGCUCAACCCUGCGUCGGCCAUGAAUACUGCCGCGGCUGGAGCACUGUAGAGGCAGGCGGAAUUCCGGGUGUAGCGGUGGAAUGCGUAGAGAUCCGGAAGAACACCGGUGGCGAAGGCGGCGUCCUGGCUCACAACUGACGCUCAGACACGACAGCAUGGGGAGCGAACGGG